UACGGAGGGGGCGAGCGUUAUUCGGAAUUAUUGGGCGUAAAGGGCGCGUAGGCGGCCUUGUAAGUCAAAGGUGAAAUCCCUCGGCUCAACUGAGGAACUGCCUUUGAAACUGCAAGGCUUGAGGCCGGGAGGGGGUAGCGGAAUUCCCAAUGUAGCGGUGAAAUGCGUAGAUAUGUGGAGGAACACCGAUGGCGAAGGCAGCCCCCUGGGCUAACACUGACGCUCAUGCACGAAAGCGUGGGGAGCAAACAGG
rnacentral:rRNA from 1 species